UGGUACCUAGUCUUUGAAUUUGUUGACCAC
rnacentral:piRNA from 1 species